rnacentral:rRNA from 1 species
GACAGAGGGUGCAAACGUUGCUCGGAAUUACUGGGCGUAAAGCGCGUGUAGGUGGCCACGCAAGUCAGGUGUGAAAGCCCUGGGCUCAACCCAGGAAGUGCACAUGAUACUACGUGGCUGGAGUACUGAAGAGGAGAGCGGAAUUCCCGGUGUAGAGGUGAAAUUCGUAGAUAUCGGGAGGAACACCAGUGGCGAAGGCGGCUCUCUGGGCAGAUACUGACACUGAGACGCGAAAGCGUGGGUAGCAAACAGG